UUUUGGCACCUGUUCCCACUAACUUACUUUCGUGACUUGGAUUAUGACCUCCCCAUGUAAGGGAAGGCAGUAUAGUUACUGCCCCAUCCCCAUUCCUACCACUGAAAUAAAAUUCAUGUCUCCUACACUUCUAAACACUACUAGAUUCAAAUAGGCUGACAAUCUGCAACUCCACCUAAAGAUCUCUCAAAUCUUGCAGGAGGAUCCUAUCCAAAACUGCUUGUUCAUUUGCCAUGUUUCCAGUAUCUCACCACUUCUCUUCUGUACAUUCCAUUGGUUGAUUUCCCCAUAAGCAAAUGGGGCAUGCAUGUUUCUCUUCAAAUCUUCUCAACCCUCCUUGGACUUCAGCCAUUGCUGCCCAACCCAUUCUAUACUGCUUUGACCACCUUUGCACAAGCAUAACCUGACAGACUUCUCUUAGAACCACACAGUUUACCUACAUCUCACUCUCUACUCCAGAGCUUCUCCAGUACAAUGAUGUGGGAUACUGUGGCAAUUCACCUGGCACACAGGCAUGUACAAUGGGAUGUUAAUUCCCAAAGGUCACCCUUGAUCAGUGGAAGAUGGGACUCACAGGAAUCCAGUGUGUAAAUAUGUUUCCAUUUCUUCUGUCAAAAAAUAAUUCAGAGACUCAUCUAAUAAUGCUCCCCAAGGUGGUCGCUUGCAGUGGUGUCCAAUACAAUUGGCCUACUGUCCUUUCACUUUACUAUCCAUAACUCUUCCUCUUCCCUCUAAGAUCUCGUUCCACCCUAAGGACUUAACAUACACAACUCUGGCUCAGCCUCUGUAUUUGAAGAAACCCAGGUUAAAACAGAGAUACCAAAAGUAGCCACAGAAAGCUGUCAGGAUGGGAUUUUGGAACUAGCAAUAAGCACUAAUUGCUGGUUGUAAGUAAGGUAGGCAUAACUUCAAUAGUUUCAUAUAUCCAAAAAUAGUCCUACAAAUAACAUAUUCUAAUAAAUCAUAUAACAAUCAUAUAAUGUUUUUAAUCUCUCAAUAAUAAAAAUGUAUCAACUAUGCUAGAGGAAACUUUGAAUUAUCUUUCUAGUUUCUCUGUAGAAAAUGUUACAAAGUUGUCAUAUGGAGAAGAAAUCAAAGUGUAUACAGCUAUAAAAAGUAAGAUUAAUAGUAUUAUGCAUUUGAGAUUGGGCAUAAAUUUUAUGUUUUUUUUUUUUUAUUUUCUAGUGUUUUGUGGUAUUAUUUCAGGGGUUGGUAAGUGACCUGAGCUAGUCUAAUUUGAAUUUCAGAUCUUAUGAUGAUGAACGGUCAUUUUCGCUGGAUUCAAACCUGAAAGAUUAUUGUCCGAGGGGCUAUAAGCUACUUUCUUGAAAGCAUGUAGACUUAGAUAAUGGAGCCAAUAGCAAAUAGGAAAUGCCUAAAAAUUAAGAAAGAAGAAAAUAAUUUGACUCCUAGAAUAAGUGGAAUCUGAAACCACUGUUCCAUUAUAUGAGGCAAUAAAUUCCUCUUUCUUAGACAUUUGAGUUGGAUUUUCCAUUACUCACUACAGAAAGCAAAGGUACACAGGGAUUACUAUCCUCUUGAACACAAUGAAUGACAAAACAUUUGGCUUUUUUCUGGUAUAAAAACCAUAUCUAAUUAUUUCCAAUGUUAUUUCAAACAUGGCCCAUGACAUCCUGAGUAAACUGUACUUAUUCCUCAUUCUUAAUUUUCUUAUGAUUUCUUCAGGGAAAACUAUUUUGGUUUUCAUUAGUUUAUUUUCUCUGAUUUGCAUUCUUAUAGCACCUUAUAUUUCAUUUUUAUAUUAUAUAUAAAUAGAUGAUAGAUUGAUAAAUAGGUAGACAGAUGAUAGAUAGACGAUAAAUUUGUCUUCUGUAUCUCCCAUAAGACUUUAAGCUCCAAGAGGGAGGCUUACCAUCUUCAUUUAUUUUCAAAGGUAUAUGCCUGGCAUCAAGCCCAAUGUCUGUAUGAAAAGAAUACUAGUUAAGUGAGAAAAUAGUGCCUGAUGGAAUGAUAGAAUGAAUGAAUUAUUUAACUCAUAUAAACAUGAAAAGCCAGAAUCUUCAAAUUGCUAAUAAAUACAUGAGUAUGUAUAUACCCAUAUACAAUUAUGUAUGUAUACUUAUUUUAUACAUAUUUGUGUAUGUAUGUGUGUACAUAUAUAGAUACAUAUAUGUGUGAACUUAUAUAUGUAGACACACACAGAAACAUACAUGUUAAAGAAUGUGAAGGGAAGAUCUAUACAGGCCUGAAUGCCAUGUAAUAGUCACAGUGCUCAGGAUCCCUUGAAAACCCAUUUGAUCUUAGAGUGGAGUAGGUAGUAGAGCAGAUGACAGAAAAAGAGGAAGGUAUGCUCUAAAUGCAAUCAGCAAAUACUAUUUUGUUUUAUGUUGAGAUAUUUUUUUCUACACAAAUUACAUAAGAAAAUUACACUAUCUUGGUAUAAUAUGUGUGAUGAGGAUGGCUAAACAUUUGCAAUAAGAAUAAGUCAUUAAAUAUCCUGGGGCGAAAAUACCCAUAAUGAAAUACAAAUGAUCUCCUUGGUGAUUGUGGAUGCCAUGGGACAGAACACCAACCACAAGAAAAGAGAUUACCUGACUAUAAAGCCAAACUGACUGCAACCCAGAGAAGUCACAACUGACUCCAUUUCUACCAUAGCCAAAUAAGGCAGCACUAUUCACAGAAGCCAAGACAUGGAAACAGCAUAAAUGUCCAUUGACAGAUGAAUGGAUUAAGAAGAUAUGUUAUAUAUACACAAUGGAAUACUAUUCAGCCAUAAAAAAGAACAAAAUAGUGCCAUUUGCAGCAACAUGGUUGGAACUAGAGACUCUCAUACUAAGUGAAGUAAGUCAGAAAGAGAAAGACAAAUACAACAUGAUAUCAUUUAUAUCUGGAAUCUAAUAUACAGUACAAAUAAACCUUUCCACAGAAAAGAAACUCAUGGACUUGGAGACCAGACUUGGGGUUGCCAAGAGGGAGGGGGAGGAAGUGGGAUGGACUGAGAAUUUGAGGUUAAUAGAUGCUAACUAUUGCCUUUGGAAUGGGUAAGCAAUGGGAUCCUGCUGUAUAGCACUGGGAACUAUAUCUAGUCACUUAUUGUGGUGCAUGAUGGAGGAUAAUGUGAGAAAAAAUGUAUAUAUGUAUGUGUGACUGGGUUACUUUACUGUACAGUAGAAAAUUGACAGAACACUGUAAACCAACUAUAAUGGAAAAAAUAAAAAUCAUUUAAAAAAAUUCUUAUGAUUCUCCAGAAUUGCCUCCCUCCACAAAAGAUUUUAUUCUGAUGUAUCCAUUAGAAUUAGGAAAAAUUAUCCUUAUCUUGGAAAUAAGACAAAAAAGAAUAUAGCAUAUUUUUUCAGUGACAUACUGGGACAUUUUAUCAACAGGUCUACCUUUGGAUUAUUUGCUUCUCUUGGAAAAUAUAAUUCUGAAGCUACUCUCCAAGGAAGGAGAGUUUUUUUUCCCAUAAAAAAGAUCACCCCAAAGGUUGUGUUCUUAUUGCCUCUCUUGGACCCAAACAAGCUUUCUGUCUUACCUAGACAAUUAAAGUUCAUAUUUUCAAACACCUGUAACUAGUUUCUCAAAAGUUCUUUGAACCAACUUUAUCAUCCUACUGGUCACAUGAUUAAUGAGUUAACACUCAGUGAUACCCCUGUUGUAUAAAAGACUUGUGUUUAUUUUUUGGAAAAAUUACCCUUUGAGCAUGAGAAUCUAUGCUCAUUCCUAUUUAUUUAGCACAACAGUUUUGAGGAAUAUUUAAGCCAUUAAUAAUUUUUUUUAUGACCUCACCUGUGGCAUGUGGAGGGUUCUGGGCUAGAGUUGAGUUGGAGCUCCAGCUGAGGCCUCUGCCACAGCCACAGCAACACUGGAUCUGAGCCACAUCUGUGACCUAUGUGACAAUGCCAGAUCCUAACCCACUGAAUGAGGCCAGGGUUUGAACCUGCACCUUGGAGAAACAACAUCAGAUUCUUAACCCACUGAGCCACAAUGGGAACCCCAGUAGAAGUAUUUUGAAAUUAUCUUUUCCUCCAUUGACUUCUAUUGAGAAAAAUGUUGGGUUUUUCUGUAUUUUAAGACAUUAAGGCUACUUUUUUCCUUUUUGGGCGAGUGUUUUGUAAAGUGGGUCCCCCUCGUAGCAAAGUUGCUCUCUUCUCAUUGAGACUGGUUAAAUUUCACACCUGGUGCCUACACAUUCUACCCUUACAUAAUGGAGUUUGACACAUCAUAUGAUUUUAAUGGCCCUCAUGCGCAGCCUGUGGAUGUUAGCAACUUCAAGUGUUUGGGUAGUCUCAGCCUUUCUUCCCCCCACUUUAGUAUUCUUUUUCAACUUUCGUAAGAUCAGAAACCAGUAGGCAGCUCAAGGAACUGACUUAGUGAGUAUUUGAGGCCAACUUAUUUCUAGAUAUUAUGAAAGUGGUGUGAGGUGUGACAGGAGCAUCAACACAGGUGACUUGUUACUGAGGCAGGGGGGCUCAAGGGGGUGCUAUUAACAGUGUCUUCUAGAGCCAUCUUUUUGGCGCCUCUGUUCCUGUGAAGCCAGUACACCAUCUGGCAGUUAGGCAUAGUGCCAUUUUAACAGAUGGGACCCAUAUAGGAGGCUCUGAGACCAUUUAUUACUAUCAACCAUAGUGUCGGACAGAGUUUUCUGAGGAAAUAUUCAACUCACUCAUUUUCACCUUGGCUUUUAAUUCCUCAGUAAAAGUAGAUAAUAUUUCUUCCUUUAAGUGAGGAAAAGACAAGAAAUGGUUUUCUCUUGGGAGUCUGGUGCUAUCAGAGAAUGAGUUGAUGCCAAAUCUUAUACACACUCAUUAUUCAUACAACUUUAGCAAAGUGACUCUUUUUUUCUUAAAUAUUUCCCUUUCAAAAUAUUCUAUAACAGCCUAGUUUUUAGCCUCAUAAUUUGAUAUGUAUAUGUAUAUGUCUUUUGGAUGUGAUUAAAAACAAAACAGAUUGAGUCAUUUUCCCCUUUUGAUGUCCUAGAAAGAACUGAAAUUAAGAGGGAAAAAGCUAUCAAUCAUUGGCCACUUGGAAAAAUUUUGGUGGGUGCUUAACUUAGGCAUAUGAUAUUUUUAUGAUUCAAAGGAGUAAAUGAUACAAUUUUUGCCCUCAAAAAACUUAUCAGUUUGUUGGGAAGAUAAAACACAUACCUAAAAUGACAUUUCUUCUUUCACUGUAAAAGUAAUUCAUAAUUGGAAUAGGGCAUUAGAAAAAUACAGACAAAUGGAAGAAAAAUAAGUUAUCCAUAACCUUAUCACACAAAACCAAUUCCUGCUACACUUUGAGGUGUUCAUCCCCAGUGUUUUGUUGUUGUUGUUAUUGUUGUUGUUUGUGGGUUUAUUGGUCUUUUUCAGUGCACACUAUUUGGUUCAUGUAUUUAUGAUCCUAUUACAUAUCUAGCUUUUGAUACUGAUCUUUCAUAAUAUGCUAUGAUCCUAUUACAUAUCUAGCUUUUGAUACUGAUCUUUCAUAAUAUGCUAUAGAGAUGGCUUUAAUAAACAUCUUUGUAAAUGAACUUUUUUCUUUUUUAUUCUUAUGUGCUUAGAAAAUAUCUCCAGGAGUUCCCGUUGUGGCUCAGUGGUUAAUGAAUUUGACUAGGAACCAUGAGGUUGCGGGUUCGAUCCCUGGCCUUGCUCAGUGGGUUAAGGAUCUGGCGUUGCCGUGAGCUGUGGUGUAGGUUGCAGAUGCGGCUCGGUUCCUGUGUUGCUGUGGCUCUGGCGUAGGCCAGUGGCUACAGCUCCAAUUCGACCCCUAGCCUGGGACCUCCAUAUGCUGUGGGAGCGGCCCAAGAAAUGGCAAAAAGACAAAAAAUAAAAAAGAAAGUAUCUCCAGAAGCAAACUUUCUGGGUCAAAGGGAAUACUUGUUUAUUAAAGAAUCUUCAAGAGUUCCCAUCAUGACUCAGUGGUUAAUGAAUCUGACUAGGAAUCAUGAGGUUGCAGGUUCGAUACCUGGCCUGGCUCAGCGGGUCCAGCGUUGCUGUGAGCUGUGGUGUAGGUCACAGACGCAGCUCAGAUCUAGCAUUGCUGUGGCUGUGGCGUAGGCCAGCAGCUGCAGCUACAGCUCCAAUCAGACCCCUAGCCUGGAACCUCCAUACGCCAUGGGUGCAGCCCUAAAAAGACAAAAAAAAAAAAAAAAAAA
rnacentral:lncRNA from 1 species